UACAGAGGUCCCAAGCGUUGUUCGGAUUCACUGGGCGUAAAGGGUGCGUAGGCGGUCGGGUAAGUCUGAUGUGAAAUCUCACAGCUUAACUGUGAAACUGCAUUGGAUACUAUCCGGCUCGAGGAAUGGAGAGGAGACUGGAAUACUUGGUGUAGCAGUGAAAUGCGUAGAUAUCAAGUGGAACACCAGUGGCGAAGGCGAGUCUCUGGACAUUUCCUGACGCUGAGGCACGAAAGCCAGGGGAGCAAACGGG
rnacentral:rRNA from 1 species